rnacentral:rRNA from 1 species
AGAGUUUGAUCAUGGCUCAGAACUAACGCUGGUGGCGUGUCUUAGUCAUGCAAGUCGAACGCGAAAGGGGGGGCAACUCCCCAAGUAGAGUGGCGAACGGGUGAGUAACACGUGGGCAACCUGCCUCCGGGUUGGGGAUAACACUCCCAAAGGGGUGCUAAUACCGAAUAAUGCAGCGGCUCCGCAUGGAGACAGUUGUUAAAGGUGGCCUCUGCUUGCAAGCUACCUCCUGGAGAUGGGCCCGCGUCCGAUUAGCUAGUUGGUGAGGUAACGGCUCACCAAGGCGACGAUCGGUAGCCGGCCUGAGAGGGUGAUCGGCCACACUGGGACUGAGAUAAGGCCCAGUCCCCUACGGGGGCCAGCAGUCUAGAAAUUUGGUCAAUGGGCGAAAGCCUGAACCAGCGACGCCACGUGGGCGAUGAAGCCCUUAGGGGUGUAAAGCCCUGUCAGGAGGAACGAAUAGCGGAGGCGCGAAUAGCUCCUCCGAUGACGGUACCUCCAGAGAAG